GACGAACGCUGGCGGCGUGCCUAAUACAUGCAAGUUGAGCGCUGAAGGAUGGUACUUGUACCAACUGGAUGAGCAGCGAACGGGUGAGUAACGCGUGGGGAAUCUGCCUUUGAGCGGGGGACAACAUUUGGAAACGAAUGCUAAUACCGCAUAAAAACUUUAAACACAAGUUUUAAGUUUGAAAGAUGCAAUUGCAUCACUCAAAGAUGAUCCCGCGUUGUAUUAGCUAGUUGGUGAGGUAAAGGCUCACCAAGGCGAUGAUACAUAGCCGACCUGAGAGGGUGAUCGGCCACAUUGGGACUGAGACACGGCCCAAACUCCUACGGGAGGCAGCAGUAGGGAAUCUUCGGAAAUGGACGAAAGUCUGACCGAGCAACGCCGCGUGAGUGAAGAAGGUUUUCGGAUCGUAAAACUCUGUUGGUAGAGAAGAACGUUGGUGAGAGUGGAAAGCUCAUCAAGUGACGGUAACUACCCAGAAAGGGACGGCUAACUACGUG
rnacentral:rRNA from 1 species